CCUACGGGAGGCAGCAGUGAGGAAUAUUGGUCAAUGGGCUAAGGCCUGAACCAGCCAAGUCGCGUGAGGGAAGACGGUCCUAUGGAUUGUAAACCUCUUUUGUCGGGGAGCAACGAGGCCACGUGUGGCCGUAGUGAGAGUACCCGAAGAAAAAGCAUCGGCUAACUCCGUGCCAGCAGCCGCGGUAAUACGGAGGGUCCGAGCGUUAUCCGGAUUUAUUGGGUUUAAAGGGUGGGUAGGCGGCCUUUUAAGUCAGCGGUGAAAGUCUGUGGCUCAACCAUAGAAUUGCCGUUGAAACUGGGAGGCUUGAGUAUGUUUGAGGCAGGCGGAAUGCGUGGUGUAGCGGUGAAAUGCUUAGAUAUCACGCAGAACCCCGAGUGCGAAGGCAGCCUGCCAAGCCAUGACUGACGCUGAUGCACGAAAGCGUGGGGAUCAAACAGGAUUAGAUACCCGAGUAGUC
rnacentral:rRNA from 1 species